UACGUAGGUGGCAAGCGUUGUCCGGAUUUACUGGGCGUAAAGAGCGCGCAGGCGGUCGUAUAAGUCGAAUGUGAAAGCCCCCGGCUCAACUGGGGAGGGUCAUUCGAUACUGUUCGACUCGAAGGCAGGAGAGGGAAGUGGAAUUCCGGGUGUAGUGGUGAAAUGCGUAGAUAUCCGGAGGAACACCAGUGGCGAAGGCGGCUUUCUGGCCUGUUCUUGACGCUGAGGCGCGAAAGCUAGGGGAGCAAACGGG
rnacentral:rRNA from 1 species